GCGGGCGUGAUGGAAUGGUAGACAUAGCAGACUUAAAAUCUGCGGGCCCCGGUGCCGUGCGGGUUCGAGUCCCGCCGCCCGCACCA
rnacentral:tRNA from 1 species